rnacentral:rRNA from 1 species
GACGAACGCUGGCGGCGUGCUUAACACAUGCAAGUCGAACGGAAAGGCCCUGCUUUUGUGGGGUGCUCGAGUGGCGAACGGGUGAGUAACACGUGAGUAACCUGCCCUUGACUUUGGGAUAACUUCGGGAAACUGGGGCUAAUACCGGAUAGGAGCUCCUGCUGCAUGGUGGGGGUUGGAAAGUUUCGGCGGUUGGGGAUGGACUCGCGGCUUAUCAGCUUGUUGGUGGGGUAGUGGCUUACCAAGGCUUUGACGGGUAGCCGGCCUGAGAGGGUGACCGGCCACAUUGGGACUGAGAUACGGCCCAGACUCCUACGGGAGGCAGCAGUGGGGAAUAUUGCACAAUGGGCGGAAGCCUGAUGCAGCAACGCCGCGUGCGGGAUGACGGCCUUCGGGUUGUAAACCGCUUUCGCCUGUGACGAAGCGUGAGUGACGGUAGUGGGUAAAGAAGCACCGGCUAACUACGUG